rnacentral:rRNA from 1 species
CGGCCCUCGGCUGACGCCUCAGUCACACNCAGAUAAUCUGCCCUUAGAUGGACGAUAAUCUCGGGAAACUGAGAAUAAUAUUCCAUAGAUUUAGGAUGCUGGAACGCACUUAAAUUAAAAGCUUCGGCGCCUAAGGAUGAGUCUGCGGACUAUCAGGUUGUAGUCAGGGUAACGACCUGACUAGCCUACGACGGAUACGGGUUGUGAGAGCAAUAACCCGGAGAUGAUAUCUGAGACACGAUAUCAGGCCCUACGGGGCGCAGCAGGCGCGAAAACUUCGCAAUGUGCGAAAGCACGACGAGGGAAUCCCAAGUGCUGGCUCGUUAGAGUCAGCUGUUUUUAUGUCUAAAAAGCAUAGAGAGUAAGGGCUGGGUAAGACGGGUGCCAGCCGCCGCGGUAA